GACUAGAGUUUGAUCCUGGCUCAGAACGAACGUUAGCGGCGCGCCUAACACAUGCAAGUCGCACGAGAAAGGGCUUCGGCCCCGGUAAAGUGGCGCACGGGUGAGUAACACGUAGGUAAUCUACCCUGAGUGGUGGAUAACCCUCCGAAAGGAGGCUAAUACAGCAUGAGACCACGGGUUCUUCGGAACCUGCGGCCAAAGUGGGCCUCUUCAUGAAAGCUCACGCUCUAGGAUGAGCCUGCGGCCCAUCAGCUAGUUGGCGGUGUAACGGACCACCAAGGCUAAGACGGGUAGCUGGUCUGAGAGGAUGAACAGCCACACUGGAACUGAGACACGGUCCAGACUCCUACGGGAGGCAGCAGUGGGGAAUCUUGCGCAAUGGCGAAAGCCUGACGCAGCGACGCCGCGUGAGUGAUGAAGGCCUUCGGGUUGUAAAGCUCUGUGGGGAGAGACGAAUAAGGGACGGCUAAUACCCGGCUCGAUGACGGUAUCUCCUUAGCAAGCACCGGCUAACUCUGUGCCAGCAGCCGCGGUAA
rnacentral:rRNA from 1 species